UCUGGUUGAUCCCGGCGGAGGUUACUGCUAUCGAGGUUCGACUAAGCCAUGCGAGUCGAAUGUAGCAAUACAUGGCGAACUGCUCAGUAACACGUGGACAACCUGCCCUUAGGUUGGGUAUAAACCCGGGAAACUGGGUAUAAUACCCGAUAGGUCUCGAUUGCUGGAAUGCAUCGAGAUUUAAAGCUCCGGCGCCUAAGGAUGGGUCUGCGGCCUAUCAGGUAGUAGUGGGUGUAGCGUACCUACUAGCCUACGACGGGUACGGGUUGUGAGAGCAAGAGCCCGGAGAUGGAUUCUGAGACACGAAUCCAGGCCCUACGGGGUGCAGCAGGCGCGAAAACUUUACAAUGCUGGCAACAGCGAUAAGGGAACCUCGAGUGCCAGGUUACAAAUCUGGCUGUCGAGAUGCCUAAAAAGCAUUUCAUAGCAAGGGCCGGGCAAGACCGGUGCCAGCCGCCGCGGUAACACCGGCGGCUCGAGUGGUAACCGUUAUUAUUGGG
rnacentral:rRNA from 1 species